rnacentral:rRNA from 1 species
UACGUAGGGGGCGAGCGUUGUCCGGAUUUAUUGGGCGUAAAGCGCGCGUAGGCGGCUUUGUAAGUUAGAGGUGAAAGCCCGGAGCUCAACUCCGGAACUGCCUUUAAGACUGCAUCGCUAGAACGAUGGAGAGGUAAGUGGAAUUCCGAGUGUAGAGGUGAAAUUCGUAGAUAUUGGGAAGAACACCGGUGGCGAAGGCGGCGACCUGGUCCGAUACUGACGCUGAGGCGCGAAAGCGUGGGGAGCAAACAGG